GACGAACGCUGGCGGCGUGCUUAGCACAUGCAAGUCGAACGGAAAGGCCCUGCUUUUGUGGGGUGCUCGAGUGGCGAACGGGUGAGUAACACGUGAGUAACCUGCCCUUGACUUUGGGAUAACUUCAGGAAACUGGGGCUAAUACCGGAUAGGAGCUCCUGCUGCAUGGUGGGGGUUGGAAAGUUUCGGCGGUUGGGGAUGGACUCGCGGCUUAUCAGCUUGUUGGUGGGGUAGUGGCUUACCAAGGCUUUGACGGGUAGCCGGCCUGAGAGGGUGACCGGCCACAUUGGGACUGAGAGACGGCCCAGACUCCUACGGGAGGCAGAAGUGGGGAAUAUUGCACAAUGGGCGGAAGACUGAUGCAGAAACGCCGCGUGCGGGAUGACGGCCUUCGGGUUGUAAACCGCUUUCGCCUGUGACGAAGCGUGAGUGACGGUAAUGGGUAAAGAAGCACAGGCUAGAUACGUG
rnacentral:rRNA from 1 species